rnacentral:rRNA from 1 species
CUAGUAAUCGCGAAUCAGAAUGUCGCGGUGAAUACGUUCCCGGGUCUUGUACACACCGCCCGUCACACCAUGGGAGUCGGAUAUGCCCGAAGCCGGUGACCUAACCGCAAGGAAGGAGCCGUCGAAGGUGGAGCCGAUGACUGGGGUGAAGUCGUAACAAGGUAAC